rnacentral:rRNA from 1 species
AGUCGAACGCGUUGGCCCAAUUGAUUGAUGGUGCUUGCACCUGAUUGAUUUUGGUCGCCAACGAGUGGCGGACGGGUGAGUAACACGUAGGUAACCUGCCCAGAAGCGGGGGACAACAUUUGGAAACAGAUGCUAAUACCGCAUAACAGCGUUGUUCGCAUGAACAACGCUUAAAAGAUGGCUUCUCGCUAUCACUUCUGGAUGGACCUGCGGUGCAUUAGCUUGUUGGUGGGGUAACGGCCUACCAAGGCGAUGAUGCAUAGCCGAGUUGAGAGACUGAUCGGCCACAAUGGGACUGAGACACGGCCCAUACUCCUACGGGAGGCAGCAGUAGGGAAUCUUCCACAAUGGGCGCAAGCCUGAUGGAGCAACACCGCGUGAGUGAAGAAGGGUUUCGGCUCGUAAAGCUCUGUUGUUAAAGAAGAACACGUAUGAGAGUAACUGUUCAUACGUUGACGGUAUUUAACCAGAAAGUCACGGCUAACUACGUGCCAGCAGCCGCGGUAAUACGUAGGUGGCAAGCGUUAUCCGGAUUUAUUGGGCGUAAAGAGAGUGCAGGCGGUUUUCUAAGUCUGAUGUGAAAGCCUUCGGCUUAACCGGAGAAGUGCAUCGGAAACUGGAUAACUUGAGUGCAGAAGAGGGUAGUGGAACUCCAUGUGUAGCGGUGGAAUGCGUAGAUAUAUGGAAGAACACCAGUGGCGAAGGCGGCUACCUGGUCUGCAACUGACGCUGAGACUCGAAAGCAUGGGUAGCGAACAGGAUUAGAUACCCUGGUAGUCCAUGCCGUAAACGAUGAGUGCUAGGUGUUGGAGGGUUUCCGCCCUUCAGUGCCGGAGCUAACGCAUUAAGCACUCCGCCUGGGGAGUACGACCGCAAGGUUGAAACUCAAAGGAAUUGACGGGGGCCCGCACAAGCGGUGGAGCAUGUGGUUUAAUUCGAAGCUACGCGAAGAACCUUACCAGGUCUUGACAUCUUGCGCCAACCCUAGAGAUAGGGCGUUUCCUUCGGGAACGCAAUGACAGGUGGUGCAUGGUCGUCGUCAGCUCGUGUCGUGAGAUGUUGGGUUAAGUCCCGCAACGAGCGCAACCCUUGUUACUAGUUGCCAGCAUUAAGUUGGGCACUCUAGUGAGACUGCCGGUGACAAACCGGAGGAAGGUGGGGACGACGUCAGAUCAUCAUGCCCCUUAUGACCUGGGCUACACACGUGCUACAAUGGACGGUACAACGAGUCGCGAACUCGCGAGGGCAAGCAAAUCUCUUAAAACCGUUCUCAGUUCGGACUGCAGGCUGCAACUCGCCUGCACGAAGUCGGAAUCGCUAGUAAUCGCGGAUCAGCAUGCCGCGGUGAAUACGUUCCCGGGCCUUGUACACACCGCCCGUCACACCAUGAGAGUUUGUAACACCCAAAGUCGG